AUGUCGUCCGCGCCGACGGUGGAGGCGCUGGGGAGGCAGCCGGACGUGCCCGGGACGGCGGCGGCGGCGGCGGAGGCGAUGGCCAAGGAGAAGAAGGAUGGGGUGGUGAAGGAGGUGAUACGGCUCGAGAGGGAGUCCGUCAUCCCCAUCCUCAAGCCCAAACUCGUCAUGAAGCUCUCCUACCUCAUCGAGCAAGAUAAAGACCGUGCCGAGUUUAUGAAGCUAUGCAGGAGGGUGGAGUACACUGUACGUGCUUGGUAUCUCCUGCAAUUUGAGGAUCUAAUGCAACUAUACGCGCUAUUCGAUCCUGUUUCUGGUGAGAAGAGUUUGGAGCAGCAGAGCCUGACACGUGAUGAAACUGAAACUCUUGAACUCAAUUUCUUAACGUACCUUUUCCAGAUAAUGGACAAGAGCAACUUCAAGUUGUUGUCUGAUGAAGAGAAUGAAGUAGCUCAUUCUGGUCAGUAUCUUCUGAACCUACCGAUCAAGGUUGACGAAUCGAAGGUCGACAAAACGUUGUUAAGCAGGUACUUUAAAGAGCACCCACAUGAUAACCUACCAGCAUUUGCUGAUAAGUAUAUUGUCUUCCGGCGAGGCAUUGGAAUCGACCAAACUACCGAUUACUUCUUUAUGGAGAAAGUUGAUGUGAUCAUAUCUCGAGCCUGGAGAUUCUUGCUAAGAGUCACAAUGAUUGAGAAAUUGUUCUCUAGGAAGAGACAAUUGAAGCCAAAGAAGGACACAAAGAAGACUGACGAAGUCAAUGACGAAGAGCCAGCAGACCUCUUUGUUGAGCGCAUACGCCUUGAAAAAAUGGAGCUAAGCAUAAGGAAUCUACUAAGAAAGAUGACAAUUCAGGAGCCUACAUUUGAAAGGAUAAUCGUGGUAUAUAGGAGGGCUAGCAAAGAAACUAAGAAAGAUCGAGGAAUAUUUGUAAAGCAUUUCAAGAAUAUUCCAAUGGCUGACAUGGAGUUAGUUCUGCCAGAGAAGAAGAACCCUAGUCUAACGCCAAUGGAUUGGGUCUUGUUCCUUAUUUCCGCGGUGCUUGGUUUGGUCACUCUAGUAGGUUCUCUAGAAAUGCCAAAGGCUGAUAUAUGGGUUGUGACGGCCAUAGUUUCUGGUUUGGUUGGAUACUGUGCGAAGACCUACUUCACAUUUCAGGCAAACAUGGUGGCUUACCAAAAUUUAAUCACAAAAUCGAUGUAUGACAAGCAGCUUGACAGUGGGAAAGGAACACUUCUACACUUAUGUGACGAUGUGAUCCAGCAAGAAGUUAAAGAGGUCAUUGUUUCUUAUUACAUUCUGAUGGAGCAAGGAAAAGCAACUAUACAGGACCUCGAUUCACGUUGCGAACAGCUUAUCAAGGAAGAGUUUGGCGUGGAGUGCAAUUUCGACGUCGUUGAUGCUGUGAAGAAGCUAGAAAAGCUUGGAAUUGUGUCCCGGGACUCAAUCGGGAGGAUCAUAUGCGUUCCGCUGAAGCGCGCAAAUGAGAUCAUAGGAACUACGACUGAGGAAAUGGUGAUGCGUGCCCAGCAAGCACCGGCUGGUUCUUAG
rnacentral:rRNA from 1 species